rnacentral:rRNA from 1 species
UAACAAUGAUUUCCCCAGUAACGGCGAGUGAAGAGGAAAGAGCUCAAAGUUGGAACCUGUUUGGCUUAGCUAAACCGGAUUGUAAACUGUAGAAGUGUUUUCCUGACACGCCUGGUAAAAAAGUCCUUUGGAACAGGGCAUCAUAGAGGGUGAGAAUCCCGUCUUUGGCCAGAGCUGUUGUCUUUUGUGAUACAUUUUCAAAGAGUCAGGUUGUUUGGGAAUGCAGCCUAAAUUGGGUGGUAAAUCUCACCUAAAGCUAAAUAUUUGCGAGAGACCGAUAGCGAACAAGUACCGUGAGGGAAAGAUGAAAAGAACUUUGAAAAGAGAGUUAAACAGUAUGUGAAAUUGUUAAAAGGGAACCGUUUGGAGCCAGACUGGCUUGACUGUAAUCAAUCUAGGCUUCGGCCUGGAUGCACUUGCGGUCUAUGCCUGCCAACGACAGUUUUAUUUGGGGGAAAAAAUUAUUGGGAAUGUGGCCUUUCGAGGUGUUAUAGCCCUUUAAAAAAUACCCUGGAUUGGACUGAGGAACGCAGUGAAUGCCUUUAGGCAAGAUUGCUGGGUGCUUUCGCUAAUAAAUGCUAGAAUUUCUGCUUCGGGUGGUGCUAGUGUUUAAAGGUGGAACUCGCUUAGUAUAUUUUUUAUUCGCUUAGGUUGUUGGCUUAAUGACUCUAAAUGACCCGUCUUGAAACACGGACCAA